CCCUGCCAAGUGAAAUAGGUCGGACUUCCAGCAGUCCCCGGAGGUCGGAACCUCGGAGAUGUGCGCGCGAUUUCAUCUCAGGAAAAGCUCGGAAUGUGACGCCAGGACACGGGGAGUAUUUUAAGUAACUUUACAUAUUAACUAAAAAACAAAAUGAAAACCAAACCAACAACCCAAAGGAGAUCCCAGGCCAAACCCCCGACGGGGCAGGGGAGCGGGCUGGAAGCUCAAGAGGGCAGACCCUCCAGAGCAGCGAGGGCCUCGGCGCCCCGGGCGUGCAUGCUCUUUCCUCUCAGAACAUGGGGCUGUCCCCCCCCAGCGUCUCGGUUCACCCUUCAAAAUCCAGUGAGGUGCCUGGCCACCGCCACAGCCCACGGCCCCUCGGCUCCCGUUAGCCCUCCCUCUCACGUCCAGGCCCUUGCUUGCGGUCAUUUCUGCCCCCCAAUGUCCUGAUGGUCACAAGUGUCAGUCUUCCCCAGAGACAGGGGGUUCCUUGUGGACCCAGAGCCAUCUGCGUCUUCUCUGUGGGCUCUGUCACACUGCUGGUGCCCUUGGAGGGAAAGGUGCCCACGUGCCUCCUUCACCUGGGCUCCGAGGACACGGGUCUCCAGGGCGCUGGGGUGGGGCUGGCCUGGGCGCAGGCGCAGCAGGCUGUGAGCCGGUCUCUUGCUCGUCACCCACCACUGUGAAGAGGAACAGGAGCUGACCGCAGGCUCCAGGCUCAUCCUCCGCGAGAACACAGAGCAGUGAUGUAGAAGCAGAGACUGGAUUUCCAGGAAUCCCAAGUGAGCUCGGUGCUGUGAUUAAACAGAAACUUUUACUCUGGACAUCCUGGCCGCCAAGGGAAGAUGGAUCACCUGGGAUCAUCAGCAUCUUCCUGUUAUUCAGUCCUAGGAGGACCUUAAGGAGCAGGUCCCUGUUUUAGAACUGGAACACAAUCAACAAAUGGGAAGCAAAGAGACCACUCUGAUGGAUCUGCAGAUCGCAUGCCGGUGUGCAGCUGAGCUGCUAAACAGCUGACAAAGGCCACCUCCAGGGACAGAAGCCAGGAUUGUUGGCAAAAAGGUGAGAACGCAGUUCCUUUAGAAGCGUUGCUUGGGCUGCACGAGACCUGCCCCCGCGGCUUCGGCGCGCCCGCCCACGGGCCUGUUUGUCUUGGAGCUGGUGGAGCCGAUUUCACGUCUGUCCCCAGGAAGCUGACCGAGGAGGGCUGGGGGAGACCCUGGCAGGGUCAGCCGAAAAUAAAUGGCCACAGAUCGGAUCAAGUCCUCAUCCAAAAAUGAGCCUCGUUUCCUUGA